UUUCCUGUACAUAUUUGAAGUCUUGAUAUUGUAAGUUAUUACAAAACUUAUUUUCAAUAUUAAGCAAUUGUAAAACUGCUUAUCUGUAAAGUAUAUUUCUUUGAAUAUAAAUUAAAAAAUAAAAAGGCUUUUGCAGUUCAAUGCACGAAAUAUGUUUUAAACAUUUAUUAUGAAAAUAUUAAAAAAUUUACGUUGGACUGAUGAAGGAUAAAAGACGAAAUUAAUUUUUAUGGAUGAUAAAAGUGAUCUAAGGAAUCAAUUAUAUAUGUGUCCUAUGGAUAUGAAUUAAUCAAUUCAGUGCUUGACAUCUCAACCUUUUUUUUUAUUUAUUUCUCGUUGGAGCGUUACAUUCUGUGACACGUACGUAUAUGUAUUAAGUUGUUAAUGCGAUCGAUAUCGAAGGUCGACCAGUUUAAGGUUGUUGUGCCGAUAUCUUUAGAGAACCUUGACUGCUCCCAAUCCAUUAAGACCCAAACCGUUGAGACCAAGAGGUGCGCCUAGACCGGCAGCUAAGGCUGGUCCAGCAAGAGCAGUUGUCAAUCCAGGAGCUAAUAGACCGGGUGCGGCAAUAGCGGCAGUAGUAAGAGGUGCUGUUUAUUGUUGUGAUUGUUGAGAAGAAAUGAAAAGGAAAAAAAAUAACAUGGAUUAAUUAAUGUUAUAUGGAAAGAAGCAAGAAAAAAAAGAGAGAAAUUAAAUUUGUGCGUUUUAAAGAAGUGCAAGUAUUUGCAGAAAAAAAAAGAAAAGAAAGAAAAAUACAUCAAUUGUUGCAAGCAAAGAUCGAACGGCUAAAAAGCGUCUCGAAGUAUAACGAUUACAUUCAUUCUAGCGUCUAGCCGUCUAUAGCGCCUAGGAAGCAGAUCGAUAAAUGCGUAACUUUUAUUGAUAGUAAUGUAUUACACGAUACAGAUAGAUCAAGAAUUAGUGUGAAAAGAAAGGAAUGAUAGGAGAAAAGUGCUAUCUAUAUUCACGGGAUGCGACGUCAUUUACAAGAAUUCCACGAGAUAUAAAAUCUGUUCCAUUGUCAAAAAGUGUAGUACGUAGUGCCCAAUCGCGGAGGAAUGUUUUAUUAUUUUUGUUUGCAUGCGUGAGUGCUUUUAAAACAUAUUAAACGAAAACGAAAAA